rfam:Sphingobacteriales bacterium 46-32 scnpilot_p_inoc_scaffold_2804, whole genome shotgun sequence.
GCCCAGAUGGCGGAACUGGUAGACGCGCUAGACUCAAAAUCUGGUUUCAGCAAUGGAGUGCAGGUUCGAUUCCUGUUCUGGGCA